rnacentral:rRNA from 1 species
CAACGCCGCGUGCAGGAAGACGGCCUUCGGCUUGUAAACUGCUUUCUGGGGACGAGCAAGGACGGUACCCCAGGAAUCAGCCCCGGCUAACUACGUGC